GUGCCAGCACCGCGGGACUGGUCCCUGCGGCCCUUCGCUCCUAGGCGCUACUCCGUGCCUCAGUUUCCCCAUCUGUACCCGGAAGUGGUGUGUACAAGCCCCAGUCCAGUGCCGGGCGGGCGGGCACGGGCUGGAAUUCAGUCUUUCCAGGCGCUGCGGGAGGCAGCCAGGAGCAGGGCAGAUGGGGCGCUGUGCAGAGUCUGUGUUUCCCAGGGAAGAGGAAGACGAUAAACAGGUGAAGGAUAAAACCGACAAGAUAAUUGGAAAUAACAGCAAGUGUUAACAUAAUAGAAGCGCAAACAUACUCUGAGUUCCCAGGAUUCCUGAAAUCCAAAGGUUCCAAACUGGCUGCCAGGGCCUUUUCAAGCCUCUUUCUGGGUUGUGCUGAGGCACCCACACGUGGACCUGCCAUGACCAUUUACUGGAAAUGAC